rnacentral:rRNA from 1 species
AUUGAACGCUGGCGGCAUGCCUUACACAUGCAAGUCGAACGGCAGCGGGGGAGAAGCUUGCUUUUCCUGCCGGCGAGUGGCGAACGGGUGAGUAAUACAUCGGAACGUGCCCUGUAGUGGGGGAUAACUAGUCGAAAGAUUAGCUAAUACCGCAUACGACCUGAGGGUGAUAGCGGGGGACCGCAAGGCCUCAUGCUAUAGGAGCGGCCGAUGUCUGAUUAGCUAGUUGGUGGGGUAAAGGCCUACCAAGGCGACGAUCAGUAGCUGGUCUGAGAGGACGAUCAGCCACACUGGGACUGAGACACGGCUCAGACUCCUACGGGAGGCAGCAGUGGGGAAUUUUGGACAAUGGGCGAAAGCCUGAUCCAGCAAUGCCGCGUGUGUGAAGAAGGCCUUCGGGUUGUAAAGCACUUUUGUCCGGAAAGAAAUGGCUCUGGUUAAUACCUGGGGUAGAUGACGGUACCGGAAGAAUAAGGACCGGCUAACUACGUGCCAGCAGCCGCAGUAACAC